CCCAGACUCCUACGGGAGGCAGCAGUGGGGAAUAUUGGGCAAUGGAGGAAACUCUUACCCAGCAAUGCCGCGUGAAUGAAGAAGGUCUUCGGAUUGUAAAGUUCUUUAAUUGGGGACGAAAAAAAUGACGGUACCCAAGGAAUAAGCCCCGGCUAACUACGUGCCAGCAGCCGCGGUAAUACGUAGGGGGCAAGCGUUGUUCGGAAUGACUGGGCGUAAAGGGUGCGUAGGCGGUGUAGCAAGUUAGAAGUGAAAUACCUAGAGCUUAACUCAGGUGCUGCUUCUAAAACUGCUAUACUUGAGUGCAGUAGAGGAAAGUGGAAUUCCUAGUGUAGCGGUGGAAUGCGUAGAUAUUGGGAAGAACACCGGCGGCGAAGGCGGCCUUCUGGGCCACGACUGACGCUGAGGCGCGAAAGCUAGGGGAGCGAACAGGAUUAGAUACCCCCGUAUAC
rnacentral:rRNA from 1 species